GGGAAAAUACCUGUGAGAGCAUAUCAUUAACCAAAGAUUAUUAGUUAUCCAAUUUUGUACAUCUCUGAGGUCCUAA
rnacentral:snoRNA from 1 species